rnacentral:tRNA from 1 species
GGCUUUGCAGUUCAGCUGGUAGAGCGUGCGCUGUACAGAUAGUGUUGGCGGCGUCCACGCGUGGGUUCGAAUCCCACCGAGGCUA